rnacentral:rRNA from 1 species
GAUGAACGCUGGCGGCGUGCUUAACACAUGCAAGUCGAACGGAAAGGCUCCUGCUUGCUGGGGUACUCGAGUGGCGAACGGGUGAGUAACACGUGGGUGAUCUGCCCUGCACUUCGGGAUAAGCCUGGGAAACUGGGUCUAAUACCGGAUAGGACGAUGGUUUGGAUGCCAUUGUGGAAAGUUUUUUCGGUGUGGGAUGAGCUCGCGGCCUAUCAGCUUGUUGGUGGGGUAAUGGCCUACCAAGGCGUCGACGGGUAGCCGGCCUGAGAGGGUGUACGGCCACAUUGGGACUGAGAUACGGCCCAGACUCCUACGGGAGGCAGCAGUGGGGAAUAUUGCACAAUGGGCGGAAGCCUGAUGCAGCGACGCCGCGUGGGGGAUGACGGCCUUCGGGUUGUAAACUCCUUUCGCUAGGGACGAAGCGCGAGUGACGGUACCUGGAGAAGAAGCACCGGCUAACUACGUG